UACGUAGGGUGCAAGCGUUAAUCGGAAUACUGGGCGUAAAGCGUGCGCAGGCGGCUUUGCAAGACAGAUGUGAAAUCCCCGGGCUCAACCUGGGAACUGCAUUUGUGACUGCAUGGCUAGAGUGCGGCAGAGGGGAUGGAAUUCCGCGUGUAGCAGUGAAAUGCGUAGAUAUGCGGAGGAACACCGAUGGCGAAGGCAAUCCCUGGGCCUGCACUGACGCUCAUGCACGAAAGCGUGGGGAGCAAACAGG
rnacentral:rRNA from 1 species